rnacentral:ncRNA from 2 species
CGAGGCAGCUCUGGAAAGAGCCGGUCACCGUCGUCCGUGACUCGGCCGCCGAAGGAGAAAAAGCUCUCAGGCACCAUCGACAGAGUGGGGAGG